CGUAGGAGGCGAGCGUUGUCCGGAUUCAUUGGGCGUAAAGAGCACGCAGGCGGUUUGGCAAGUCGGAUGUGAAAACCAGAAGCUCAACUUCUGGCCUGCAUCCGAUACUGCCCGACUAGAGGUAGGUAGGGGAGAUCGGAAUUCCUGGUGUAGCGGUGAAAUGCGCAGAUAUCAGGAGGAACACCGGUGGCGAAGGCGGAUCUCUGGGCCUUACCUGACGCUCAGGUGCGAAAGCUAGGGGAGCGAACAGGAUUAGAUACCCUGGUAGUCCUAGCCGUAAACGUUGGGUGCUAGGUGUGGGCGGUCAUCAACCCCGUCCGUGCCGAAGCUAACGCAUUAAGCACCCCGCCUGGGGAGUACGGCCGCAAGGCUA
rnacentral:rRNA from 1 species